rnacentral:rRNA from 1 species
UACGAAGGGGGCUAGCGUUGUUCGGAAUCACUGGGCGUAAAGGGCGCGUAGGCGGAUCGUUAAGUCAGGGGUGAAAUCCUGGAGCUCAACUCCAGAACUGCCUUUGAUACUGGCGAUCUUGAGUCCGGAAGAGGUGAGUGGAACUCCUAGUGUAGAGGUGGAAUUCGUAGAUAUUAGGAAGAACACCAGUGGCGAAGGCGGCUCACUGGUCCGGUACUGACGCUGAGGUGCGAAAGCGUGGGGAGCAAACAGG